GAUCAGGUAUAGGAAGCUCACUACUAGUCAGGCUUAUUGUGGUCAAGAGAGCAACAUGAGGCACAAUGGCUAUUACUACAGGUGAGUAAGUCCCAGUUUGUCAGUGGUCGGUCUUCCUUGGCAGGUGAGUAAGCUGUCAGCCUACACCCAAGGCUGGGAAGUGUAGGGCAGGUAUGUGUAGGGUCCAAGAUGCAGUGACACCCUGGGCACGACGUGGGUCAUUCCUCCAGCUCCAGGCUG